rnacentral:rRNA from 1 species
AUUGAACGCUGGCGGCAUGCCUUACACAUGCAAGUCGAACGGCAGCGCGGGGCAACCUGGCGGCGAGUGGCGAACGGGUGAGUAAUAUAUCGGAACAUACCCUAGAGUGGGGGAUAACGUAGCGAAAGUUACGCUAAUACCGCAUACGCACUAAGGUGGAAAGUGGGGGAUCUUCGGACCUCAUGCUCAUGGAGUGGCCGAUAUCUGAUUAGCUAGUUGGUGAGGUAAAGGCUCACCAAGGCGACGAUCAGUAGCUGGUUUGAGAGAACGACCAGCCACACUGGAACUGAGACACGGUCCGGACUCCUACGGGAGGCAGCAGUGGGGAUUUUGGACAAGUGGGGGGCAACCCUGAUCCAGCAAUGCCGCGUGAGU